GUAUCUAUUAGACAAUAACACUUAUUGGACAUGAGUACUCUUGUUUAUAUGCUUCAUGUGAUGCUUUCUCUCCUAUACUAGAUUGGUUCGAUUGAAUUUUAUAAACAAUUUUACAAAAGGGUGUAUAAAGAAACAACCAGAGUGUGCAAAAGGUAAAAUCAGAAUCAACAAUAUAAAACUACUAGGUGAGCCCAAUAUAUUACCCAAUCUCAAAGCCACCGUAAGUAUCCAUCUAAGCUGCUUCUUCUCCGUUCGCAGCACUCGCCGCCGGUUUUCUUAGAAUCCAUCGAACGGAAAUGAAGAAAGGAGUGCAUCCACAGAAGCAAUGGAUAUCGUAUGUUACUCAAUCUGGUAGGUUGAUGCAUGUCAUGAUGACAAAGAUACAUCCUGUUGGGAAAGUCUAUCAUUUUCGUGCUAAGCGGCAAAUGGCGGAAAGUUUGGGACAAAUUGCCAAGUUCAGACGUCGUUUUGGCUUGGAGAAUCCUGAGGCUGCCGAAAAGAAAUGACUUUUUUUACGGGGAGAUUUGGUUUUGAAUUUCAUGUUGGAAAAAUACCAAGGAAAAUGGUCAUGGUCUGAAGUAGUUUUUGUUUAGUUGCCAUAUCUAGUUGAACAAUAGAUAUAUUUUAAGUUAAACUUGUUUAAAUAAAUUGUUCAUCUUCUUCA